UACGUAGGGUGCAAGCGUUAAUCGGAAUUACUGGGCGUAAAGCGUGCGCAGGCGGUUGUGCAAGACAGAUGUGAAAUCCCCGGGCUUAACCUGGGAAUUGCAUUUGUGACUGCAUGGCUAGAGUGUGUCAGAGGGGGGUAGAAUUCCACGUGUAGCAGUGAAAUGCGUAGAUAUGUGGAGGAACACCGAUGGCGAAGGCAGCCCCCUGGGUCAAGACUGACGCUCAUGCACGAAAGCGUGGGGAGCAAACAGG
rnacentral:rRNA from 1 species